rnacentral:rRNA from 1 species
UACGUAGGGCGCAAGCGUUGUCCGGAAUUAUUGGGCGUAAAGAGCUCGUAGGCGGCUUGUCACGUCGGGUGUGAAAGCCCGGGGCUUAACCCCGGGUCUGCAUUCGAUACGGGCUAGCUAGAGUGUGGUAGGGGAGAUCGGAAUUCCUGGUGAAGCGGUGAAAUGCGCAGAUAUCAGGAGGAACACCGGUGGCGAAGGCGGAUCUCUGGGCCAUUACUGACGCUGAGGAGCGAAAGCGUGGGGAGCGAACAGG